AUACAUGCUUGCAUGAGUUAAUACUCGUGGGCAUUUGCAGUACCUGGAACAAGGCUCCACCAACAAGCUGAGCAGCACAACACGGUUAAAAGAAUGAACCUGGAACUGGUUGGCCUGCACUUGAACCCAACGUUUCCUGCCUUAGGAGAGGAAGUGUGUUAUAUGACCUUCAGUUACACUCCCGGGCAUUUAUCUCCAGGAAAUGAAAAUUCAAGUCUACACAAGACCUGUUCACUAAUGUUACAGCUGAUUUCUGUGUAAUAGCGCAAAACCACAUGCCCCUGAAUAAGUGAGUGGUUUAACAAAUUGUGGUGUGUCCUUAUGAGGAAAUACUACUGUGCAGUACAAAGGAUGAGUUACUUAUGUGUGCAACAGUGAUUAGUUUC